AACGAAGAGGGAAGAAGGAGAAGCAGCAGCAGCUCCAUCUGGGUGAUGGCAAAAUUCCCUUCUCUCCACUGCAACAGCUCCAUGCCCAAAGUGUCCUUCUCUGAAGCUGAAGAAGCUGGCCAAACUAUCCCCACCCUCCCCUUUUCCUGUCCCCUUUCCCCCUGGGCCCAGCCAAACUCUUCAUGUUCCUCAAGUACCCACCAAGUCAGGUUUUUCCCGCAGCUAAUGCGUAAAAAUUCCACAGGUAAGCCAGAACUAAAAGAAGGCCACCUAACCCCCAACAAUUAUUCUGACUAAUUUACCUAGAGUCUGUAUUUGGACUUACAUGGUUAAUAAAAGUGAGAAAUUCCUGGCAAACCAAUUCCUGGAAAACAAAUAAUUACUCAUUGAAUUUAGCAUAUAUUUCUUAGAUUCCUUGGCUACAGAGUGGGAAAGAGAAUCUUUAUCAUUUUCUUCCUUCUUACAGGUGUGGUCUCAUUGGCAUAUAGAGUAGAUGGGGUCAACUAAGAGACCCUGUAAAAGGUGUUUCAUUGCAAAAUCAGUCUUAUGGAAGGGUGAGACAGUAAGGUUGCUACAUUGAAUGCCAUCACAUCAAAAGCCGUCUUAAUUCUAGUUACAAUGCCUUUUAUAAAUGUCUUAGACAAUCAGCAACUUGUACAAAGCUCGCUAGCAUCUUCAUAAUCCAAUCAUUAAUUGCUUCAUCUUACAAGAUUCUACUGCAAUGCUUUUUUUUUCAUGCAAUCAUAUAAUACUACAGAAACUUACAGUGCUACAUCUUUAAUUUCUAACUAACUUUAUAACAAGUUCUAUUGUUAAACUUUUAAGUUUUCUACUAUCUUACUUAACAUAUUUAUUUGCUUACAUGAGGCAUAUUUCUGCUUGCUUAAAACAUAUCUCUGCUUAAACGACAAACUUCUGGUCUUCAUGUCUGUUUCACAUUUUUGCUCUAAAGCUUCAAAUCUUCUCCAAGGUCUUGAAACAGAGAAAUUAAGAAUCAAGCAUGAAAAAAUGCUUUGACUAAAAGAAAGGAGGGGCAGACAAAACUGUAUAAAAUGCUUACAGCUCCCACAAGAGCAAGAAGAGCACAAGACUACAAGAUAAGAUAUAGAGCUAGAAUGUGCAAACUAGAUGCAAAGACAAAAGCACCACAAGGGGAUGCUUUAGAUCCUUAAACUGAGAAAAACAGUAUCAAAGUCCAAAAGAUGGUCAAAAGACUAAAAAGAAUAUGCACAAGAAUGUCAAGGCCCCGGAGCCAAAAGCUAUGAUGGUGUGGAAGGAGGCCUCCAGGGUGUAAGGUUUUCCUCAUUUUAAAGCUAUAAGGACUUCUCCUGUAGUGUUUUGCACCUCCAUUUUGUUGUACCCCAGCUCAUAUACCCAGUUAGCCUGUUGGCUGUCCCUCCCCUUUUUACCUUGUAGGUCUCUUCCUUAGAAAGUUCUCCCUUCCCUGUCCCCCUGUUGGCCCCAGUUUGGUGCAAUCCUCUUCCCCUGUAAUCUCAUUGGAUCUCUCUCUCCCUGACCCUGCCUCUGCACCACUUUCUCCUGUACUUAUUGGACCGUGACCUUUGAAUUCACCCCCUCAAGUCCCCAUAUAUUCCUGGACCCUCCAUUACUCCCUGUUUUUUUUCCUGGACCCCUUUGGUGCAUGGUGGGGGUAAACCCCAUUGGAACUCCAUACAGAGACCCUUCUGUGUCUCUGUCAGCAAUUGCUAUCCUUGGCAGGUCUGACUGCAUGUGUGUGUGUGUGUGUGUGUGUGAGAGAGAGAGAGAGAGAGAGAGAGAGAUAUUACGAUUAUGGCCUGCCCAGAUGCUGUCUCCUCUGGAGGCACUUUUGGGAAGGUAGCAUCGCCUGACCACAUACACCCAAAGCUACACAAGAAGACAAAGUAAAAAGUCCAACUAAGAGGAAGACUGCUUGCUUCAUCCCAAAGACCCCCAGACAACCACCAGAGUGACCAACAAGGAGCAGUGCACAGUCACAAAGAGGCAUGGAGUUAAUUUUAAUAUGAAGCAGGAACAGGUGAGGUUAAGAAAUGAAUAUGUAUUGGACAUUUUGUGUAACCCUAGUUUGUAAAGAAUAAAAAGAGAACGGCAAGUCUCCAAGGUGUGUAUGUUUUUAGAAGAGAUAUUCAUCAUGCACCUCAGUGCUGAAUAAAUACAUAUCUACUCUUAUAACUUACUCUGUGGGUUAUAGAGUUUUCUUCCUGCAUAACAGUCUCAGAUCAAGCAUUGUAUUCACCUCUACCUCUGAGCCUGUAUGCUCAAGGCCUUGAGAGCUUUCUGUGCCUGCAUUUCCCACAGUCUUAACCUAAUAUGGGAAGACUUAGACUCCAAUUUUUACUUUUACAUAACUAAAAAUAUUUGCAAAGGAGGUAGAAUCCCAUCAGACAAAGGGAAUCUUCCUGCAACACCAGGUACAGAGUACCCAUGCUUUUGACUCCAGUGAAUUCCAAACACAAAAACCUGCCCACCAAAACUUAGGGGGCCGUCUUAGUCUCUGAACUUUAGAGUGUAAGAACAGAGAACAUAAAGUCUUUUAUACUUUAUAUGAUAUAUAUAUAUAUACUUUAUAUUCUUGCAAAGCAAGAAGUAAUGGUAACUGCCCUGAAAAUGCACCUCAGUUUUGGUAUGAACUUGGUGUUAAAUGGUUCUUUGUUGAACUUCACAAGCAACUUCUGGCUCUUUCUCUGCUUCCUCACUUGGGUUUGUUUUGUCUGCAAACACCCCUUCAGGUUGUUCUAGUGCUGCUCCCACCUGACUAAAAUCUCACUGGACAUUCCCCAGCCUCAGCUGAAUCUCCACAAACUAUUUUGAGUGAUGACUGCACAAGUUUUGUUAAACCUGAAGUUUUGACGCCCUGGUUUAAGUCACCCGGUCUCCUGGAUGUGCUGCUCAGGUCUGCAAGGAUCAUUAUCCUCUCUCAAAUGAGGGAGCUGAGCUAAUGGAGGCAUGUCAAGGACAUUUAAGAGACCAGGUACCUCAGCUGGAAGAAAUUGUCAUCAUCUGUGCCCCUUGAGGCUGUCUGUGACUCUGCCAAGGGGAAGUGGUAUUUGUUGCUCAGGUAGCUCCAGGAGGACUAAAGGUCAUGGUGAAAUGUUCUGCUGAGGGCUGUGCCAAAGGAACAAAAUUGGGAUUAAGUGGAGUUUUCAGUAAUAAUCACGUCUUGUUCUUGCUGCUGUCACUGGUGGUUUAGCCACUGCCUGAGGUAGUUCAGAGGUGAUUUUGGAAUACUACUCUUGGACUUUAAAUGGUGUGGACUAUUCCUCAUCCAGAUGUGUGGCCAUGAGCCUGUGUCUUUAUCAGUGACACACAAGCUGAGAGAGGCAGACAAAUUCUGCAGGGCUCCUGGAGUUCAGGGGCCCUCCUGCAAAAUGCAUCUCCCUCUUCUUAUCCAGGAAUAUCAGCUUGGCCAUCUGCAUUUUGCAGCUCAUGUCAGGGGAAAUACUGGAUACCUGGAUAUUUCAUAGACUCAAUACCUCAUCUCAUAUAUUUGCUGUGUCUUUCAGUAAAGAAUGUCUUAUCAGAGGAACUUGAAGACAUUCUAGACCUAAGCCAAAGAAAAAGAAAAAAAAAAUAAUUCAAGCAUCUGUUGUCAGUACUUAGGAUAAAGAAAAUGCCAAUAUUUGCAAAAGGCUCAAGUGAAGCAAUGAAGAAACAGAGCAAGGUUUACUCUGUUAAAGCUAGGAAUGAAAGUCUGCCUCCUUAUGCAUCCAACUGCUUUCCAGGUGUGCACCUGCCAGGGAUUUUACCUUUCUGUAUAUUGUAGGUCUCAGGAUAAAACCAUACGCAGACAAACCAAACCUAACAAAACUAACCAAACAAACAAAACAAUUCCACAAAAAUCCCCAGCCCCACACCAAACUAAACAAACAAACAAAAAAUCAAAAUACUAACCCCCCCCACCAAACCAAAUCAAAAGUAGGUGGAGAAUCUUGUUUCCGUAAUGUGUCUCCAUUGAUACAAGGCAGUUUAGACCUCUUUUUGAACGUAAAAGAGAACCAUACGUUCUAGGCAGCAAGAUUCAAUUCUCACCUGAAUAAAUAAGAAAGGAGGACAUUUUAGUGUGGCAAGAAUUUGACCCUUACUCUUUAGUAAAAUAAUUGGUACCUUACUUUCCUGGAAACAUCACUUCUAGAUAUGGUAUUACAGCCAGUACUGAAACAGCCAAAUAGUAUCUCCUUGUCUGCUGAUGAAUAUGGUCAAAAUUUUGAGGGUAUUUCGGUAUAUGGAGAUAAACAGGUGAAAGGGGACACAAGCCAUUUCCUCUGACCUGCUGCUGUUUAUGGGAACAGAUAUGGGCUUUGGAAAUGUUUGUUAAAGCACUGUACUCCAGCAAUCAAACUCCAUAGAUUUGAUGAGGUCUGGGGCACACUCAGCACUCCCUGACACCAGCUGAGAAGUAUGUGCUUCUGUAAAGCCAACAUGCAAAAUUACCACUGUUAAGGUCAGAGCAAUGAUGUUGUUUUAGAAUUAGGCAAAUUUACUGGACAAAACUAUUUUGAUGACAGAAUGUAAUAUUUUUCUUUUCACACAGCAUAGCAAAUGAUGGAAAUUGCAAUCAAAUGUGUCUGUUUUAGGUAAACUAGAAUGCAAGGCUGAUUGUUUAAUUCUGAGAUUUAGAUCUUAAUUGUAUUUGUGCUGCACAAACAAUAGGAUAUACCAUUGCAAGGAGAAAGAGGUGAAAAUGCUUUGAGAAAGGAGGGGCAUGAGCCAUCUUACCAUGAAAAGCAGGGGUCUGUGGUUGCUGGGCUCUCACAAAGGCUCAGCUUUCUGCCACAUGGCCAAUCUGUUUUUAAUUCUGAACCAAAUGGAAAACAAAAACCAUUCUCACUUAAGUAGUGGAAAAGGGAACAUGCUUGCUUGUGUAAAUUGAUGUUUUUGUAGUAAAUCUUUGUCUGACCAUGAAAGAGUAAGGAUAAAGAUAAAAGUUUUCUAACACCAUUUAAAAGAGUUGGAAAAAUAAAGGGUGGAUGAUGGAGUUGUUCUCUUCCUCUGGUCUGAAAUCAACACGAUAGUUUUCAAAGUUCAAACCUGAAAUCACUUUCAAUCUGGAUAGUUUAAUUCCUUUAAAUCUGUUUUAUUUAUUAAUAUCAAUACCUUGAACUAACAACAGCUAUUCCCUGUUUAGACUGGAGUGUGCUGCUUUUUGUUUUCUGACUCAUAGCAUCUAUCCCAGAGAGCUUGUCUAUAGUGUUCAUUCAAUUAUUUUCUCUGUUACAGUAAGAUUUCUCUGUCUCUUUGGAAAGGUUUGGAUUUGUUCUCUUUGUUGUGUGAAUCAAAGCCUGUUUUCAGUGGGAGCCCAGCAUAGCUUUUUGUCCACCUGGGAGGUCUCAUCACAACUGCAGCAAACUCAGGGUUUUCUAACCUACCUUGUGGAGUGCUCGAUUUCCAAACACACCUUCUUCCACUCUGUCUGGAAACUAUAUGGUUCACACAGACAUCAUGGUUCUGAUAUUAUCUUCUCUAUAAUCUAAACAUAAAACCAUCUUGCAUGCACAGUCUUAUAAAUCUGUUUGCAAGUAAACAACAUAUUCCUUAGGACUGAAAUCAACACUAACUUCUUUAGAAAUACUAUUACUCCUUUUAUUCCUCUUCAGGGAACAUAUAAAACAUCUCCACCAUUACUAAAGAGACCAAAAAUGAUGGGUGGCCCUGAAAACUGGGCUACUGGGAGGCACUGAGGGGAUGGGGCUGUGGCACUGGGGCACAUGUGGUUUCAGGGCCCUUUGUGACAUGCUGUGACAUAGAUGCUGUUGAUGGGAUGUCACGUGGCAGUGUGUCACAGGGUCUUUUGUGACCCACCAUGAUAUGGGUGCUAGCAGCAACACCCACAGUGCCUGAAGGAUGUGACAGGACAGACACAUGAUGAAACAGCACAGGACACAAUGAGAAUCCCUCAAGCAGCCACAUUCCUCCUUGCUGACCUAGUGUUUUCUGUAGAUAUCUCCUGCCCCUGUGUCCAGAGCCUUCAAGGCCAGACAGCAGAAUGGCAGAGGGGACCCUCCAGUGUUCCUGGGCAGGCCCGGGUGAAGGAGGAGGAAGGCCCUGGGGCUGCCCUAAAAUGGCCUCCUGAAGUGAUGGAGAAGUUCCAGCCUGUGUGGGCAAGUGAGUGGCCGAGCUGGGUCUCAGGGCUCAGCAGCCAGCUUGGCCCCAUCCCAUCCCCUGUGGACAUCCCCAGGGAAAGAGGGGAAGAGGGGAUGGGGCUGAUGCCCUGUGGCAGUUGUGCUCCAUUCACUGAGCCUCCCUGUGCUGGGUCUGCCUGGAGAGCAUGGUUCCAGGGAGUCUCAGCUGCAUUCUCCAGCCUUUCUUUCCCACAGGCCCUCUGCUUUGACUUUGCCUGGUCUUUGCCAGACCCAGCUGAGGACCUGACAGAAGACCAGAAGAGGGCCCAAAAGCAUUUCAGGCAUAGAGCUCAGAUUUUUGGAAAUUUGUAAAGAACAAUGAACAGGAAGAGAUCACCAUUGCAGCCAUCGACAGCGUGGUACGCUGUGACUCCUAUAUUGCUGAGGCUUGUGCUGCUGUGCUGGAUUUGCUUGCACAGACGGAAACCUCCAAUCUGAAGCAUGUGUCAACCAUUGUGAAGUUUAUCCAGCGGUGGCUUGUGUCCAACAAGGAUGUGUCUUCUGAGCACAGACUAGACAAGUCACUUCUAGAGCCGACCAAUGCACACCCCAGUGCUGUGGUUGUGACCCUCCUGUGCUCCACCCUAUCAUGUGAAAGGUAUGGGGCCUAUCUGCCUUUAGAGCCCAUCUCUCUGCAGAUUGCAUGCCAUGUAAGCUGCCAGAUUGAUGGAGAGUUCCAGAACCCUCCAGCUUCUUCAUUUCUCAGCAGUGGCAUGUCAGUCCCAGAGCCAGCUUCCAUGCUCCCUCCCACUGACCCUCAAGAUUCUGUCUCUUGGCUACCUGCCCACUGGCAGGGACAGGAUCACUGGGUACUGCCAGUGAGAGGCUAUGGGCAGAGACAGGGCUGGGGACCGGCCUGUGGCUGCUUAGGCCAUGGUAUUGUGGCUGUGACCCCACUGACAGAGAGCUCUGGGCCUGCAGAGCUGCUCUGACCAUGUGGAAAGUGCUCAUCUCCUCAAGCAGGACUGCAAAGAUGGUGCUGUUGGAGUUGCCCUGCAUUCUGGAGGACUGGCCAGAGCACAGCACAGGCACCUCUGAUGGGGAAAGAAAGCAAGUCUUCUCCCUGGCUGUGAGUUCCUCCUCAGGUCUUUUCUUGCCCCCAGGGUCACUGUUCAGUCAGCUGUCCAUCCUCCCUCACCUCUGCAUCUCCCUGCCUCAGGUGCACUGUAAGCUUGGGCUAGGGGCAGGUUCAGGAGUGUCUGAGCAGGAGAGCCCAAUCCUGGGCACAGGGACAUACUGGCCAAGGCAGAGAGCUUGUACCAACCCUUCCCUUCCUGCCCUUCCACUGUCUCCAGCUGUCAGAAGACAGAAACACAACAGGCAAGUACCAGCGCCAGUCCCUGACAUACCUGCAGAGCUCACAGGAGUCCAUUCGAGAGACAGCCAUCAAGUUCAUCAGUGAGACAUGGCCCCAGGGCCCAUCCUUUCCCACCACAGCUCUGCCCAGCCCUAGCAGCUGCACUGGCAAUAGGAUUUAGCCCAGUGGCUUUGGAGCCCUGGCUCCCUGGUUCAGGGUCACAGUCGGGGCCACUGCCACCCUCUCUCAUCCUGGGGUUUCACAGUCUUUGAAGGUCCUGGGCUUAGCCCUGCCAGGGGAGGAGGGUGUGUGGCUGGGCUGGCAGCACUGGUGUGCGGGAGCUGAGUCACUGGGGCCAUGACAGGCUCUGUGUUCCCAGAGCUCAUUGGGCAGCACAUGAGGGGACGACGGCAGGAAGAGUUCCAGAUCAUCCAUGAUGCUCUUCUAGGCAUGGAAAAUAACAUCAGCCCCUCUGUCUCAACCCUGCACAGCUUAAGAACUGCACAAAGAAAUGGCCCAUUGCAUCUGCUACAAGACCAGCUCCACAGGGUGUAUAUAUGUUGGUAUAAUUGUUGGUAUAAUUUGUGUUUUAUUGUACACAUAUAAAAUCAAGUACAAAAGCAUGUUUUAUAUAAAAAACACAAGCAACUUGAGAUUGCAAAAGCAGCUGCUGCAAAACCAGGAAUUUGCAAGAGAACAACCCAACAAUUAAGAUAACACCGGAGAAGAGGUGGGUCCACCCAAGCAAUAUGAGCGCUCUAACAACCCAGUGAUUAACGCCUGAUACAGACCUGAUCUGAUUCUCCAGGACCAUACAUCUCAAUACCCAGUUCCCAUAGAACUACUCAGACUCUCCCCCUUUCUCAGAAACUUCAUUAACAAAGCAACAGAAAAAAAUAUGAAUAUGUAACAACACAAGAAAAAAGAAACUGAAGCUGCAUAGCCUCAAGCUGAAAAAACUGUAUAAAACACAGCUCUCCAAAAGACAGUUUGUGAACCUGGGGGAAUCAGUGUAAGAGAGGCUGAUUCAGGGUUCACCCAGCACCGAUCCCAGGCUCUACACUGACCAUGAUUGUGGCUGUUUCCAAAAUUUGAUUUUGCAAAUUUUUCAAUAAAAUUGUUACUGAUAAA